rnacentral:lncRNA from 10 species
CCAAAGUGCUGGGAUUACAGGCAUGAGCCACCGCGUCCAGCAAGAAUAGGUGAUUUUCAAACUUGGAAACAUUCAGAAGUUAUCGCCUCAGUUUCAGAUUGAGUAGUCUCAAAGAGAUUACAGACAUCUACCACAAAUUCUCUACUUGGUGUGGUGCAAAAUCAGUAUGAUGUAAACUUUGUCUCUCAGUUUCUUCAAAGGAAAGAAGCAACUGGAACACACAUAUAACACUAACCCUUCCAGCUGCAUUAUGAGGGACCAGUACCUGUCUCAAGGCAAAAUUAUGACUUAGUUCAUCCUCACCUCUGGAGGCCAGUAAAAGUGGGUUAUAGAAGAACAAAGAGGCAUCUAGAUCUUUCACUGGGUUAUUUGGAGAGAAACAUCUCCUACCGAAGGCCAGUUUAACAAGACUGGUAGAGGAGGUUAUCUUAUCUAAUUCACAGAAAUCAACACAUUGAGUCAAGAAAAAUGAAACACAGAAACACUCUAAAUAAAAGAAGAUAAGUCUUCAGAAACCAACCCUAAUGAAAUGAAGAUAUGUGAUUAACCUGACAGGAAAUUAAAAAGAGCAACCAUAAAGAGUCUCAUGGGAGCAAUGCAUGAACAAACUGAGAAUUUUCAUAAAGAAAUAAAAGAUAACAAAAAGUAUAAAGUUGAAGAAUACAAUAACUGGACUCAAAAAUUUAAUGUGUCCAACAGAAGAAUCGAUGAAGCAGAAGAAAGGGCUAUCAAACUUGUAGAUAGGCCAUUGGAAAUCAUGUAAUGUGAGGAGAAAAAAGAAAAAAGAUUGAAGAUAGUUUAAGAGACUUUUGAGACAUCCUCAAAGGGGAAUAAUUUAUACAUUACCAGAUGGAGAAGAUAGAGGGAAAAGGACAGAAAACAUAUUUGAAGAAAUAAUGUCAGAAAACCUCAUAAUUCUGGCAAGGAAAUAGAAAUUUAGAUCUAAGAAUCUCGAACAUCAGGUAUGAUGAAUCCAAGGAGACUCACACCAAACCAUAUUGUAAUUAAAUAAAGGUUAAAGACAAUCUUCAGAGCAGCAAGGGAAUAGUCUCUUCUUACAUACAAAAUGAUCCACGGAAGACUGUCAGCAGACUUCACCAGAAAACUUUCACGCCAGAAGGCAGUCGUGAUAUAUACAAAAAGCUGAAAGGAAAACACUGCCAUCCAGGAAUACUAUCUCCAACUAUCCUGUGUUUCAAAAAUUAAGGAGAAAUAUAAAGUUCUCAAACAAAAGAUGUGGGAGUUUACCACCACUAGACCUGCACGGGAAGAAUUGCUAAAGGGAGUCCUUCAAGCUGUAGUAAAAGAGUGCUAAUUAGAAACAUGAAAACAAAUACAAAAAAAAUUCUAAAACUUGUAUGGAACUACAAAAGACAUUAAAUAAUCAAAGUAAUCUUGAGCAACAAGGACACAGCUGGAGGCAUCACUCUACCUGAUUUUGUAAUCCAUUAUCAAAAAACUGUGGUACCAGCAUAAAAACAGAUUCACUGACCAGUGGAACAGGAAAGCCCAGACAUAACUCAUACAUUUCCAUCCAAUUGAUUUUUGACAAAAGUGGCACACAGAAUGGGGAGAGGACAAAUAAAUAAAUAAAUUGUUUUGAGAUAUCUGUAUAUCUAUAUGUGAAAUUGAACCAUUUUCUCAUAGCAUAUAGAAAAAUCAACUCAAAAUGGAUUAAAGCCUGAAAUGUUGCCUUUGAAACUGUAAAACUACUAGUAGAAAAUAUAGGGGAAAAGCUCUAUGAUGUUGUUCUGGGCAAUGAUUUCUUGGAUACAUCCUUAAAAGCAUGGGCAGCAAAAACAGCCAGACAACUAUCAGGGAACCUGCCCAGAUAGUCACAUAGGUUCUUUUCUAUUUUCCCUAAGCAUUGGCCGGGUUGAGAAAUAAAGGGACAGAGUACAAAAGAGAGAAAUUUUAAAGCUGGGCAUCCUGGGGAGACAUCACAUGUCGGUAGGUUCCGUGAUGCCCCCUGAGCCGUAAAACCAGUAAGUUUUUAUUAGGGAUUUUCAAAGGGGAGGGAGUAUACGAAUAGGAGGUGGGUCACA